CAGAAUCACUGGGGAAAGAAGAUGCUGUUGAGCUUGACUCCAGUCUGGCACUGUAUAGAGACAUGAGUGGUGUAGAGUAAGUGGGAGGUCCUGAGGCUGCUACUGUAAUACCACUAUCCUUUUGUCCUUUUUCACUUACUCAGUGAGACAGGGGGCAAGGCCCAAGGGGCUUUUGUUUUUGACUCCAAGGCACCUAUACAUGAGCACAGAAGCUGCUCUGACAUGCUGAAAUUCCAGUGCAUUGGAGCAGAUUCAAUUAAUCGAGUCUGCUGGAGCCUGGCAAUUGCUGUGCUCCAGCAACCUCCUGCAUCUCAUAUAUCAAAAUCCCCAUGCUUAAAAAUGGCAGCAGGGACAUUUGAACUAAAGCUCAUCAAACAACCUUUAGUUCAAGCACCUCCGCCACCAUUUUUAAGAGCAGGGUUGAUGCUAAUGCAGGAGACGUGGUGAUUUAAUUAGAUCAGCUCUUGGAGCCUCUCUAACUGAAGUGCUGCCCACCCACCCCCAUGCCCCCCACAGCCCUGAGAACACAUAUAAAAGUGCCCCAAGUGCCAAGCAUGGGCAGGGUGCCACCUAUUCUGGAGACUGUGUCAGAUGGGGAGUCUGACUGAGGAGGUACAUCUGUCAAACUAUACACCAGGUGUCUUAAGGUGAGCUUCAGGGAGGACAGAAACCUCCCAUGGGGCAGAAAGGCAAAAAGGUUGCUGGAUCUUGAUUUUUCAGUAUGAGCACAGACCAUGACAGCAGGGCCUCAUGAUUCUUCUGAUUUUGAGGGUUUUAAGCAGGUGUCAGAAAAGUUACCACAGGGAUAACUGGCUUGUGGUAGCCAAGUAUUCAUAGCAGUGUCACUUUUGAUCCUUCACUGUCACCUUUUCCUGUCAUUGAAAAACAGAAUUCACCAAGUAUUGGAUUGAUUGCCCUCCCAUAUGGAACAUGAUCUGAGUUUAGUCCAUCAUGAGAAAGGUUAGUUUUACCCAACUGAUGAUGUGUUUUGCAAUAAUUAUCCUGCUCAGUACAAGAGGAACCACAGGUUCAGACAUUUGGGCUAAGGACAGAUAUUCAAAAAGCCUGAGCCUGAAUUGAUUCAAGCUUUGCAGGUUAAUCUAACCUGGCUAGCUGAAACCAGUUUGUAACCACACAGACAUCCCAGAAAUGCAGGCACAUACCUGCAAUGGCUCAGGCUAGAAGCAGAAGAGGGCUGGGGGGAGCACUAGAAUAGCCCUCCCUUCCCUUCCAUAGUGCUGAGCUGAGGGGGGCAUGGCUAAGCCUGGGCAGGACACUCCAUACCCUCCUGAGCAGCUCAGCAGGCAGUUGAUAACACAGUGUUUGUCACCCCUAACUCAGUGUUUAUCAGCUCAUUAACAAAACAAAGAAAACAAAAGCUUCUCAACUACCUGUUGAUUAGCUCCAAAAAGCCCUAAGUUGACACAGUCCUGUCUGCCUUUGUCCUGUCUGCCACAGCACCGACCGUAGCCAGCAUGUGGUCUGCUAACUAAUGCUGAGCGGUAUCUGUGUAAGGCAAAGGGGAGGGGGGAAUCCCUGCUUAGCAGGGAGUGGUGAGAGAAGUGGGGUGUGGGCAGGGAGAGCAGGGGGAAGCCCAGCAGAUGCCUACUUUCUGCCGGAGCUACAGCCAGGGAGUACAGGGGAGGGGACAGCUCUGUUGUGGAACAGAGAGCCCUGCCCAACCCAGAGAGCAUGCCAGGAUGCUGGGGGAGUCUGGUUUAACUUAAACCAGGAAGAGGUCUGGGACAGACACUGCAUAAACCAGUUUAAGCCAAAUCAGUUAAGUGUGAUAACCAUGUCUGACAGGUUUGUCUCAAACCAGUUUUAUCCAUUUUUACACUGGUAUAUGUGCACUGAACAUCUGUUCUGCUACAGAUUUAAACCAGUUUCUGAUCACUUAAAUCAGUUUAUGUGUAAUGUCUGUCCCUAGCCUUGAUAUAUGUACUUGGCUGAGCUAAUAGAGCAAAGCUACAACUUCUGGGAUUAUGACUGAACACCUUAUGACUGAACAACUCUAAAUCAAAAUCCACCCUAAACAUAACACUAUUGCAAUGCUCUGGAACCUCAGUUUGCCUCAGAUAGCCAGCUGGGUCAAGGUUUUGUAUGUAGCAGAGCAGCUACUUUGCUGUGAUCUAAUGAAAGUCAGUCCUAGACUCAAGCUUU
rnacentral:ncRNA from 1 species